rnacentral:rRNA from 1 species
AACGAACGCUGGCGGCAUGCCUAACACAUGCAAGUCGAACGAGACCUUCGGGUCUAGUGGCGCACGGGUGCGUAACGCGUGGGAACCUGCCCUUAGGUUCGGAAUAACUCCCCGAAAGGGGUGCUAAUACCGGAUAAUGUCUUCGGACCAAAGAUUUAUCGCCUUUGGAUGGGCCCGCGUUGGAUUAGCUAGUUGGUAGGGUAAAAGCCUACCAAGGCGACGAUCCAUAGCUGGUCUGAGAGGAUGAUCAGCCACACUGGGACUGAGACACGGCCCAGACUCCUACGCGAAGCAGCAGUGGGGAAUAUUGGACAAUGGGCGAAAGCCUGAUCCAGCAAUGCCGCGUGAGUGAUGAAGGCCUUAGGGUUGUAAAGCUCUUUUACCCGGGAUGAUAAUGACAGUACCGGGAGAAUAAGCUCCGGCUAACUCCGUG